UACAGAGGGUGCGAGCGUUGUUCGGAAUUAUUGGGCGUAAAGGGCGCGUAGGCGGUGCGGUAAGUCACCUGUGAAAUCUCCUGGCUCAACUGGGAGCUUGCAGGCGAAACUGCCGUGCUGGAGUGUGGGAGAGGUGCGUGGAAUUCCUGGUGUAGCGGUGAAAUGCGUAGAUAUCAGGAGGAACACCUGUGGCGAAAGCGGCGCACUGGACCACAACUGACGCUGAGGC
rnacentral:rRNA from 1 species